rnacentral:rRNA from 1 species
UUAAAUUCAGCGGGUCGUCUCGUCUGAUYUGAGGUCG